UGAAAGGUUUAUAUAUGAAGUAAAGAUUUUAUAAAAAUGGUUAUUUCUAAACUUCAGAUUUUAGACAAGAUUUAGAAAUUAUCUGUAUGAAGUUAAAGGAGCAUCAGGUUUUAGACAAGAUUAAAAAAUCAGUAUGAAGUUAGAAGAGCAUCAGAGCUCGGGUUUCUGACGAUUAAAUAAAAUGGACAUGGUAUGUUUUAGAAUCAACAUCAGGUAGACCUAGUCUGUACUGAACAGAGGUGGUUACGUGUUCGUGAUGUAAGUGGAUCAUUUGCUUGUAAAUAAUAAAAAGAUUGGUUUUCUUGUGAUGAUACAAUGGAAUUACCGUUUGAUUUAAAUGAAACAUUUUCCAUGGCUGCUUUUAUAUCUGAAGAAAACUAAUACAAAAAUUAAAAUGAUAAACUGGUAAGGGUCAAUAGCAUUGAGUUUCUAAAGCAUGCUGGCUCCCUAGCCUGGAUUCGGGUGUUCAAUCCCUGCAUUGGCCGAGAAAGUUCAUCCAGAUUGUCCAGCGUGGUUCCCCCUUGUCAAUGAUGCAGUACGGAGGGCCUGACAAGGACAGCUAAAUAGUUGUUGGUAUGGUACGGAAAAUCGAAGUCCUGUGUAGAUGAUCCCUUGAUUCAAUAGAAGGGUAGACCCGGUCCGGGCAACAUUUCCCUCAAAGCGCACUGUAUGACGUAUGCCUGUCUUCAUUAGCCCAGUUUGGAGCAGAACAUUAGGACUCUAAACCCCAUUUCAUUUCUAAAGUAGAAAAAAUUGUUUAGUCGGCCUUUUACCGUACUAAAUGUUCACUGAAAUUAAACAAUAAAUAUUG